GAUGAACGCUGGCGGCGUGCCUAAUACAUGCAAGUUGAGCGAACGGACGAGACGCUUGCUUCUCUGAUGUUAGCGGCGGACGGGUGAGUAACACGUGUAUAACCUACCUAUAAGACUGGGAUCACUUCGGGAAACCGGAUCUAAUACCGGAUAAUAUUUUGAACCGCAUGGUUCAAAAGUGAAAGACGGCCUUGCUGUCACUUAUAGCUGGAUCCGCGCUGCAUUAGCUAGUCGGUCAGGUAACGGCUUACCAAGGCAACGAUGCAUAGCCGACCUGACAGGGUGAUCGGCCACACUGGAACUGAGACACGGUCCAGACUCCUACGGGAGGCAGCAGAAGGGAAUCUUCCGCAAUGGGCGAGAGCCUGACGGAGCGAGGCCGCGUGAGUGAUGAAGGUCUUCGGAUCGUAAAACUCUGUUAUUAGGGAAGAACAUAUGUGUAAGUAAAUGUGCCCAUCGUGACGGUACCUGAUCAGAAAGCCACGGCUAACUACGUG
rnacentral:rRNA from 1 species